ACCGAAAAUAUCCUGGAAAUCCAGGACACAAUGACAAGACCAAACCUAAGGAUAAUAGGUGUAGAAAAGAUGGAAGAUUCCCAACUUAAAGGGCUAGUCAAUAUCUACAACAAAAUUAUAGGAGAAAACUUCCCUAACCUAAAGAAAGAGAUGCACAUGAACUCUGGGGAGGUCCUUAGCAGUCUUGACAUGCAAAUCAAUUGUCCCACUGAGGUAUAAGAGCUAAAAACUAAUUGAACCAUCUAGUAGCUGGUUCCCUAUGAAGUUUUCCCCAGUAUAGUUAGCACUCUCUCAACACACACACACACACACACACACACACACACACACACACACACCAAAAAAAAAAAAAGUCCACAGUUUUAUCCUAUAAAGGGAAUGAUUAGAAAUCUUGGGGCUGAAACGAUCUCAACCUAUUCUCAGAUAUUAAAUGGGUAAGAAGCCUGGCUCAGUGGCAAAGAGCAGGAAGUGGAAUGUGAGUGAUUCCUGGGACACUUUUGGAAAGCAGCACUGGUACUGUGGGUUGAGUCGGUUACCAGGUUAAGGUUCAUGACUCUGACACUCAUCAGACCCCAGAAAAGGUGUUGGUUGAUAUAGACAGCAGGAUGUUGGCCAUGGAAGUAGGAAUUCGCUAAGGAGUGUGUAACAACUCACCUGUCUAAUCAACUAGCUGUGAAAAUGGAUGGCACUGGAGCUUCACAGGAACCUGAGCUUUGCUGCCUUUCCUGUGGGUACAGUGCUAUGAUGAGCUGCUGGCUGUAGUGAGCCUCGAAGUAUAGAGUGCAGGACUGAUUGGAGCCAAUGCAGGUGCAGAUCUUGGUGGUAGAAGCAAAUAUUCAUAGGAGAAAUUUGAAAGCCAAAGUGGAGAAGGGUU
rfam:Mus musculus chromosome 14, GRC primary reference assembly.